rnacentral:rRNA from 1 species
UACGUAGGGUCCGAGCGUUAUUCGGAAUUACUGGGCGUAAAGCGUGCGCAGGCGGUUUUGUAAGUCAGAUGUGAAAGCCCCGGGCUCAACCUGGGAACUGCAUUUGGGACUGCAAGGCUGGAGUACGGUAGAGGGAGGUGGAAUUCCCCGUGUAGCAGUGAAAUGCGUAGAGAUGUGGAGGAACACCGAUGGCGAAGGCAGCCUCCUGGGCUAGUACUGACGCUCAUGCACGAAAGCGUGGGGAGCAAACAGG